AUUGAACGCUGGCGGCAGGCCUAACACAUGCAAGUCGAGCGGAUGAAGGGAGCUUGCUCCUGGAUUCAGCGGCGGACGGGUGAGUAAUGCCUAGGAAUCUGCCUGGUAGUGGGGGAUAACGUCCGGAAACGGGCGCUAAUACCGCAUACGUCCUGAGGGAGAAAGUGGGGGAUCUUCGGACCUCACGCUAUCAGAUGAGCCUAGGUCGGAUUAGCUAGUUGGUGGGGUAAAGGCGUACCAAGGCGACGAUCCGUAACUGGUCUGAGAGGAUGAUCAGUCACCCUGGAACUGAGACACGGUCCAGACUCCUACGGGAGGCAGCAGUGGGGAAUAUUGGACAAUGGGCGAAAGCCUGAUCCAGCCCUGCCGCGUGUGUGAAGAAGGUCUUCGGAUUGUAAAGCACUUUAAGUUGGGAGGAAGGGCAGUAAGUUAAUACCUUGCUGUUUUGACGGUACCAACAGAAUAAGCACCGGCUAACUUCGUG
rnacentral:rRNA from 1 species